AGCGAACGCUGGCGGCAGGCUUAACACAUGCGAGUCGAACGCCCCGCAAGGGGAGUGGCAGACGGGUGAGUAACACGUGGGAACGUACCCUUUGGUUAGGAAUAACUUGGGGAAACUCAAGCUAAUACCGGAUAAGCCCUUAUGGGGAAAGGUUUACUGCCGAAGGAUCGGCCCGCGUCUGAUUAGCUAGUUGGUGAGGUAAUGGCUCACCAAGGCGACGAUCAGUAGCUGGUCUGAGAGGAUGAUCAGCCACACUGGGACUGAGGCACGGCCCAGACUCCUACGGGAGGCAGCAGUGGGGAAUAUUGGACAAUGGGGGCAACCCUGAUCCAGCCAUGCCGCGUGAGUGAUGAAGGCCUUAGGGUUGUAAAGCUCUUUUACCCGGGACGAUAAUGACUGUACCGGGAGAAUAAGCCCCGGCUAACUUCGUGCCAGCCGCCGCAGUAA
rnacentral:rRNA from 1 species